UGUCAUUGUAAUCUCACACUUCCGAUCCUUGGAUUGGGAGCGGGUGGACUUGGGUGUUGCUGCUUUACUGUGGCUCACCUUAAAUGCAUUAGUGCAACUCUUGGUUGGACAUAGUACGGCGUGAUAAGUAUCUUCGCCGGCACCUCGCAAGAGGGUGGCUGAUCAGAGCUCUGUGCUCUCCAACUGUCUUCAGACAAUAACUGACAACUUGACCUCAAAUCGAGUAGGACCACCCGCUGAACUUAAGCAUAUCAAUAAGCGGAGGAAAAGAAACUAACAAGGAUUCCCCUAGUAACGGCGAGUGAAGAGGGAAGAGCUCAAAUUUUGAAUCUGGCGUCUCUGGCGUCCGAAUUGUAAUCUAGAGAAGUGUUUUCCGUGACGGACCGUGCAUAAGUCUCCUGGAAUGGAGCGUCAUAGAGGGUGAGAAUCCCGUAUAUGGCAUGGACUCCCGUUGCUCUGUGAUACACUCUCGACGAGUCGAGUUGUUUGGGAAUGCAGCUCCAAAUGGGUGGUAAAUGCCAUCUAAAGCUAAAUAUUGGCGAGAGACCGAUAGCGAACAAGUACCGUGAGGGAAAGAUGAAAAGCACUUUGGAAAGAGAGUGAAACAGUACGUGAAAUUGUUGAAAGGGAAACGCUUGAAGUCAGUCGCGCCGUUCAGGAUUCAGCCUUGCUUCUGCUCGGUUUACUUCCUGUUGGGUGGGUCAACAUCAGUUUCGGUCGGAGGAGAAAGGCUCGGGGAAGGUAGCAGCAUUCGUGCUGUGUUAUAGCCCCUUGUUGUAUACUUCGAUUGGGACUGAGGACUGCAGCACGCCUUUGGCCGGGGUUCGCCCACG
rnacentral:rRNA from 1 species